AUACGUAUGGUGCAAGCGUUAUCCGGAAUCACUGGGUGUAAAGGGAGCGUAGACGGUUACUCAAGCCAGAUGUGAAAGCUAUGGGCUCAACCCAUGAACUGCAUUUGGAACUGAAUAACUAGAGUGCCGGAGGGGUAAGCGGAAUUCCUGGUGUAGCGGUGAAAUGCGUAGAUAUCAGGAGGAACACCGGUGGCGAAGGCGGCUUACUGGACGGCAACUGACGUUGAGGCUCGAAAGCGUGGGGAGCAAACAGGAUUAGAUACCCUGGUAGUCCACGCGGUAAACGAUGAAUACCAGGUGUCGGUGAGCGAAGCUCAUCGGUGCCGCAGCAAACGCAGUAAAUAUUCCACCUGGGGAGUACGUUCGCAAGAAUGAAACUCAAAGGAAUUGACGGGG
rnacentral:rRNA from 1 species